rnacentral:rRNA from 1 species
UGGGGAAUAUUGGACAAUGGGGGCAACCCUGAUCCAGCAAUGCCGCGUGUGUGAAGAAGGUCUUCGGAUUGUAAAGCACUUUUCGACGGGGACGAUGAUGACGGUACCCGUAGAAGAAGCCCCGGCUAACUUCGUGCCAGCAGCCGCGGUAAUACGAAGGGGGCUAGCGUUGCUCGGAAUGACUGGGGCGUAAAAGGGCGUGUAGG